rnacentral:lncRNA from 1 species
GGAAAGGUGUGGGCUAAACACUACACAGCGACUGCUGGGAGAUGCUUUGGAAAAAAGCCUCUCUUAUGUGAAUACACGAAAAUGCGGCUUUCACAUGGUGAUGAUGUUGUACUUUUGAGACGGUCCCUGGAGAUAUUUUACUUUUGAGACGGUCCCUGGCGAUAUCGUACUGUAGCGCUCAGCGCCGUGGGUUUGGAUGGGGCGAAGAAGGACACAGAGGCAGCGUUCAUUACAAACGAUUUAUCUGAACACCGGUACCAGCGAAAUAAUGCUCUCGGUCCGAGGACCCCCGUUUCCUUCAGGACCUGCACGUAAAUAUGAUACAGCCAGCCGUCCCAGCCUGCUUAGCGCCCCAGGCUCGCUCCUCACACACCAGUCAGUCAGGAGACAGGGUCACCCCAUCAUUUUCCCCCUAAAUGCCCCCAGUUGUUGCAUACCCACAUUUCACAUUAUUCUCCAGAAUGCAACUAUUUACAUUUAGGAGUUUCCCUCCUAAAACAGUAACGCGGGGUCGUUAGAGUACUUUGAGACGGUCCCUGGUAACUUUGUACUUUUGCGACGGUCCCUGGUAACUUUGUACUUUUGAGACGGUCCCUGGCCAUUGAACCGCGCGCGGGAUCCGGGCCACAAUGGCGGGAACGGACUCCGGCAGUUUCCACCACAUGAGGAUCUAUUACCUGGACAACAUAGCGGAGAGUCUGGCCGAGGCCCGAGAGCUGAUGAUGGAGCUGAACAGUAACCUGCAGGUUUGGGCUGAGAGGACAACUCAGCUGGAGCACCUCGCUCAGGUAGGUGUCUGGACUCUUGGACAGCAGUGUUCUUCGGAGGACAUCGUGGCAAUUGAAUGUGUUACCAAGGGGAUGUUGGUUGCUGUACGUUGUAUAUUGUCUCACAGUCUCCGGCUUAUGUUCUGCUGCUGUCCCGAGCCUGUCGCUGAACGAAGGAACGAACGAACGAACGAACGAAUGAGGUGAACAUCCUCUCCUUUUGAACGCUCUCAGGUGUGGACGGCCUUCCAGAACAGACUGGCCUCCCUCUCGCUGGCCUUUGGACACGUACUGGAGGAGAAGCCUCAGGCGGGAAAAAGUUCCAGCUCUUUGGAGUGAAGUGGAAGAGAGCUGAUGAUCCACCCGCUCAGUUUUCCAUCCUCCAUCACCUGGUCGUCUUGCUCCACAGACCAUCUACAGCAUCUUCACAGCUCCUGUGGUCCACAGGCCUUCUCAGCUGCACACCUCGUUGGCACUUGUUGACCUGUGAUCGCUCACCGGCACUGUGGCCACUUACUCAGUUUCUCCAACAUUCCUCAUUCGAAUCUUCAAUAAAAACAUUAGGAAACUGAAUGGCA